rnacentral:RNase_P_RNA from 1 species
AGAGUAGGCGAGGUGGUUACAGACAUUGUCUGAGGAAAGUCCGGGCUCCCUAAAGACCAGACCUGCUGGGUAACGCCCAGUGCGAGCGAUCGCGAGAGAGUGCCACAGAAACAUACCGCCGAUGAAGCCAUUAGCCAAUCGCUAAUAGCCACAGGUAAGGGUGCAAGGGUGCGGUAAGAGCGCACCAGCAGUGUCGAGAGGCACUGGCUCGGUAAACCCCGGUCGGGAGCAAGGUCGAAGGGACAAAGGUUGGUCUUUUCCCUGUCCCGCUUAAAAGCACCGCUUGAGGAAGUUGGUAACAACUAUCCCAGAUAGAUAACUGCCCCCUUGCUAGCAUGGCUACAAGGGAACAGAACCCGGCUUAUGUCUUGCUCUUCCC